UCUCAACAUAACCCCUGCUGGCUAGCGUGAAUAUGAACAGACAAUCCUGUGCACUGCUGCUUAGCCUGGGAACUGCUACAGACUUGGAAAGGUAAUCUGACAACAACACAUUUAGUUUUAGAAUACAAUGCUUUAAUUUUUAAAAUCACUGGUCUAUAAAGGAAACAUUUAAGGCAGCCUCUAUAUGUACGCCUGUCAUCUGAAAGAUGACCCCAUGACCACUGGAGGCCAUUUAUCCAAAAAAUGACUCCAGGCACACAAGCAAAGCAAGAGUGAGACCGGAAAAGCCGAAAGGACAAUGAAAUGUUAUCAUGCCUCAAGGCAAUAGGACCUUGAUUCUGCCCACUAGUGCCUCCCCAGGGAUAAGGAGAUGAGAUGAUAGCCACUGGAGGAAUUGGAGAGAAAAUGAAUAUAAAGUUUAAUGAUAACCACUCAAGACAGCUGCUGCACACAUUGAUACAGCUGGAGUUGGCUAUGUCCUCAUAAAUUUUUACCUCAAGCCUGGGUGACUCAACGAUGCCUCAAGAGGAUGUGUCAUCUCAACAGGUAAAUGCUUGAGUAACUGAUGGAUUAUCAGUCUAUAAAAAAGAAGACACUGGGAUCGUCAUGUAAUUCAAUCUUGUUUGUAAUUCAAAUAUAUAAAAAAGAAAGAAAAGGAAAACAAAGAAAAGGAAGCAACCCUCUAGAGAUGAGAGAGAUGUGCAUUCUUUGGCCUUGAGAGACACUGACAAUAUCUUACUGAAUAAAGAAGGAAGGGCAACAGAGAGCACUCACCAGAUGAAGCACUUGUUACAAUAGCACUAGGACUGGUGUUCAGGUCCCGGGACCCACGUAAAAGCCAGGUUGGGGUCUGCUCUUAAGAUGACUCAGCAGAUUCUUCAACCAGACUAUUAAGUUUCUGAAAUGUGGCUACUUCGAAUUAAGAGACCAAGAACAGUGAUGGGGACUCAAAAGAAACACCAGCUCUUCAGAGCAUUGGAGUCACUCGUCCAACACAGAAAGCAAGUGGGGUACCACAUCUAGAAAACUCACUCUUGAAAAGAGGUCUACAUGGGAAUGUGUGCUGCCAAAGAAGACCGAAUAACCAUCAGACCACCACUUGAGUCUCUAGACACAGAACACCCAACGUAUCCAAAAAUCCACAGUAUUAUGUACAAUAAAUCAUCU